rnacentral:rRNA from 1 species
ACAUCCAGAGAAUUUAGCAGAGAUGCUUUAGUGCCUUCGGGAACUCUGAGACAGGUGCUGCAUGGCUGUCGUCAGCUCGUGUUGUGAAAUGUUGGGUUAAGUCCCGNAACGAGCGCAACCCUUAUCCUUUGUUGCCAGCACGUAAUGGUGGGAACUCAAAGGAGACUGCCGGUGAUAAACCGGAGGAAGGUGGGGAUGACGUCAAGUCAUCAUGGCCCUUACGAGUAGGGCUACACACGUGCUACAAUGGCGCAUACAAAGAGAAGCGACCUCGCGAGAGCAAGCGGACCUCAUAAAGCGCGUCGUAGUCCGGAUUGGAGUCUGCAACUCGACUCCAUGAAGUCGGAAUCGCUAGUAAUCGUAAAUCAGAAUGUUACGGUGAAUACGUUCCCGGGCCUUGUACACACCGCCCGUCACACCAUGGGAGUGGGUUGCAAAAGAAGUAGAUAGCUUAACCUUCGGGAGGGCGUUUACCACUUUGUGAUUCAUGACUGGGGUGAAGUCGUAACAAGGUAAGCGUAGUGCU